CCUGUAGCUCAGUGGAUUAGAGCGGCUGACUUCGGAUCAGCGGGUCGUAGGUUCGAAUCCUACCAG
rnacentral:tRNA from 1 species